CCUGAUGAGAUCGACAGUCAAGGCUCACAUCGGUAUUCUUAUCAACUCGAGAGCUCCUGAGCAUGAGCUCGAGGACAUUGGCUGACGUGAUAAGAUCUCACAAUAUUUGCCCCCCACUUCCGAGUCCAAAGAGGUCACUUCAGAUGAAAGAGUAGUUCAAGAAAAAAGUUCUCAGCUUGUUUGACGUAACGAAUCCAUACCAUUUGAUUCUUCAAAUGAACCACUGCAUCCUUCCACUUGAGCUCGGAGUGGG
rnacentral:lncRNA from 1 species